GGGGCUGUUGCUCUGAGGUAGAUUAUCUGCUUGGCAUGUAGAAGGUCCCGGGUUCUAUCCCCAGCAUCUCCA
rnacentral:tRNA from 1 species